rnacentral:pre_miRNA from 9 species
ACACUGAUGCAGAAAGAUUAUGUCACAAGUAGGCCGAGAUGGGGACAAUAUUGUACUAUCCAGUAUUGCACUCGUCCCGGCCUAUAUGCGACAUAUGUAUACGACUGCCGCAUAG